GCCACGACCUACCUAAAGGGCGAAGUUUCAGGUCCACCUAGCCCUUCUUUAGACUCCAUUGAGGGAAGCAGGUUCGUCUUCAGCCUCCCACCCCUCGGCCUACACGGGAGCCUUGAAGGAAGACACCCCAGACUGGACAUCUCUUUCCUCGGUGGGCAUCCCAUUCCGACCCUGGCAUCCCCUGUCGGCUUCCCCCACCCCACCCCAUCCAGGGCAGAAGGGCGAGCGGGGGCAGACUCUAUGAGUCACGUUCUGGGUCUGGAAUUGAGGGAAGCGCCGCCUCUCCUUGGGCCCCUUCUCUCCUCCUUUCCCCUCCCCGCCGGUUCCUGGCCCAGCCAGAUACUGCGCAGCAAUCACCGAUUCUCCAUCACCAAUUUGACUGGCGCUCGCGAAGGGAGAGCGGAGUGGGACGCCGGGCCCUGCAGCGGACUGGGCCCCUGGCCCCCUCCUCCAGCAGGCCGCGGGCCUUGCAGCGCCAUCCCUGCCCACACUGACCCCGUGCGGCGGGGCCGCUCCGCGCCCCCGGGCGGCUCUGUUAUGGUAGGACCGCCUCAACCCCGAGCUGUCGUCGGGUCACCGCGGCCCCGAGUCAUUGUAGGAACUAUCCGGCCCCGAGUUAUUGUGGGGUCUGCGCGGGCCCGGGCCCCCCCGGACGGGACUCCCCGCCCCCAUUUGGAGGCGGAGGAGUCUCCCCGCCCCCGAGUCGUCGUCGGGACGACUCGGGCCCGGGUGAUUGUGGGUUCGCCCCGGCCCCGGAUGAUCGUCUCAUCCCCGUGGCCUGCUGUGGUCGUAGCGUCCCCGAGGCCGCGGGCUCCCGUAGGCUCCCCGUGGCCCAGAGUUAUAGUCGGGACACCCCGGUCGCGGGUGAUUGUCGGGUCUCCACGGGCCCGGGUCGCUGGGGUGGAUCAGGCCCCCGCGCCUUCUCGGGGCUCCCCGCAAGGCCGCAGGCGAGAUGAACAUUCUGGCGCCGGUGCGGAGGGACCGCGUCCUGGCGGAGCUGCCCCAGUGCCUGAGGAAGGAGGCCGCUUUGCACGUGCACAAAGACUUCCACCCCCGCGUCACCUGCGCCUGCCAGGAGCACCGGACAGGCACCGUGGGAUUUAAGAUCUCCAAAGUCAUUGUGGUGGGGGAUCUGUCAGUGGGGAAGACUUGUCUCAUUAAUAGGUUCUGCAAAGAUACUUUUGAUAAGAAUUACAAGGCUACCAUUGGAGUGGACUUUGAGAUGGAACGAUUUGAGGUGUUGGGUGUCCCCUUCAGUCUGCAGCUCUGGGAUACCGCUGGACAGGAGAGGUUCAAGUGCAUUGCAUCAACCUAUUACCGAGGAGCUCAAGCCAUCAUCAUUGUCUUCAACCUGAAUGAUGUGGCCUCCUUGGAACAUACCAAACAAUGGCUCGCUGAUGCACUCAAGGAGAAUGACCCGUCCAGUGUGCUUCUCUUCCUUGUGGGUUCCAAGAAGGACUUGAGUACUCCUGCUCAGUAUGUGCUGAUGGAGAAAGAUGCACUCAAGGUGGCCCAAGAGAUGAAGGCUGAGUACUGGGCGGUCUCUUCUCUCACUGGUGAAAAUGUCCGGGAAUUCUUCUUCCGUGUGGCGGCGCUGACCUUUGAAGCCAACGUGCUGGCUGAGCUGGAGAAAUCGGGGGCCCGGCGCAUUGGGGAUGUUGUCCGCAUCCAUAGUGAGGACAGCAACCUCUACCUAACUGCCAGCAAGAAGAAGCCCACGUGUUGCC